UACGGAGGGUGCAAGCGUUGUCCGGAUUCAUUGGGUUUAAAGGGUGCGCAGGCGGGACAUUAAGUCAGGGGUGAAAGACGGUUGCUCAACAAUCGCAGUGCCUUUGAUACGGGUGUUCUUGGGUGACGGUGAGGUAGGCGGAAUGGGUGGUGUAGCGGUGAAAUGCAUAGAUACCACCCAGAACUCCGAUUGCGAAGGCAGCCUACUGGUCGUUAACCGACGCUCAGGCACGAAAGCGUGGGGAUCAAACAGG
rnacentral:rRNA from 1 species